rnacentral:rRNA from 1 species
GUAGUCUCGCACAGAUGCAUAUCAAUAAGCGGAGGAAAAGAAACUAACAAGGAUUCCCCUAGUAACGGCGAGUGAAGCGGGAAGAGCUCAAAUUUGAAAUCUUAAAGGGUUUCCCUUUACGAAUUGUAGUUUAAAGAAGUGUUUUCUGUUGAGGUUUUGGUAAAAGUUCUUUGGAAUAGGACAUCAUAGAGGGUGAGAAUCCCGUAUUUGACCUUUACUUUCAACUUUGUGAUACACUUUCAAAGAGUCGGAUUGAUUUGGGAAUGCAGUCCAAAAUGGGUGGUAAAUUUCAUCUAAAGCUAAAUAUUGGCGAGAGACCGAUAGCGAACAAGUACCGUGAGGGAAAGAUGAAAAGAACUUUGAAAAGAGAGUUAAACAGUACGUGAAAUUGUCAAGAGGGAAGCGUUUGACACCAGUGUUGUUUUUCUGAAAAUCAAUUAAAGAACUGUUUAUGCUAAGCUGUUUAGACUUUAUCAGCUAUCUGUUUAGUUUUGAGCUUUUCUUUAAUGCACUUUUCAGUUAACAAGUCAACAUCAAUUUCUUUUGCUGUAAAAAAGCUUGAGGAAGGUGGCUUGAGAUUCGUCUUAAGUGUUUAUAGCCUCUUGCCUAUGCAGUCGGAGAGAUUGAGGUCUGCAGCGUAGAUCCUUCGGGGCUAAAUGCAUUUGUGCUAAGUUAUAGCAUUUUAUAGACAACUUGUUGACUAUGAUUUGUCUUGUAGCUUACUCGCUUAUGUUAUUUUACCUACGCUUAGGAUGUUGAAGACUCUACAGAGAUA